rnacentral:rRNA from 1 species
GAUGAACGCUAGCGGCAGGCCUAAUACAUGCAAGUCGAGGGGUAGAGCUAGCUUGCUAGCUUGAGACCGGCGCACGGGUGCGUAACGCGUAUGCAACCUACCCUUUUCUGGGGGAUAGCCCGGAGAAAUCCGGAUUAAUACCGCAUAAGACCACGAUACGGCAUCGUGAUGUGGUCAAACAUUUAUGGGAGAAGGAUGGGCAUGCGUGCCAUUAGCUAGUUGGCGGGGUAACGGCCCACCAAGGCGACGAUGGCUAGGGGAUCUGAGAGGAUGGCCCCCCACACUGGUACUGAGACACGGACCAGACUCCUACGGGAGGCAGCAGUAAGGAAUAUUGGUCAAUGGGGGCAACCCUGAACCGGCCAUGCCGCGUGCAGGACGACGGCCCUCCGGGUUGUAAACUGCUUUUGUACGGGAAUAAACCCCGCUACGUGUAGCGGGCUGAAUGUACCGUAAGAAUAAGGAUCGGCUAACUCCGUGCCAGCCGCCGCGGUAA